CCAUUUGAAUAUUUUCAUGGUGGUAUCAUUAAUUGUUACCCAUUUCUUUUCCCAAUGCCUGGGUUUAUCCACCGCCUGCAUAACACGUUUGAUAUCAUCUUUGGCUCGACUGCGUGUUUCAGCUCUAACACUACGUGACAUUAAAAAUUAUUCGAUUGUAAAAAAAUGGCCGCACCAUAUACAUUGACAGCUGUUUACAAUUUUUUAAGUGUUAACAAAUUGAACAACAUUUGACAGUUAAAGCAAAUAAAAUAUAAGCCGGUGUCGUUAUGGUCCGUUCGCAAUGCUAGAGAAUUUAAACAACAGUGAUGCCAACUUUUCAUUCAAUAAAUCCUACAAAUAAUAAUUCAAUAAACUCAAUCUAUUUAAAAGACGUAAUUAAUACUUAAAUUUUUAACAAUAGCAAAUUUUAUCUGCUCUAAACAUGUUCGAUUUCUCUAAUAUUUUAACCAGGUGUAUCACACUUAAUUUACAUUUUAGUUUCGAAGUUAUAUACACUUAAGUAUUUAUGUUGUAAAAUUUUCUACAUCAUUAUGGAAAUCAUAAAAUUCAAAUAAGAAUAUUACAGUUUCUUUUGUUACGAACCACCCUGUAGUAAUAAUCUAUUACAAUAUAAAAACAUUUUUCAACACUGUUUUUAUAAUAUGACAAGUGUUGAUAAUCUUUAGACAUAUAAAAUAUUUUCUUUAAAAAAAUCGCUCGAAAACUGGAUACAUAUGGAAAAUUUCGUGUCAAAUACACCAACUCAGAAGAAAUAAAGUUAAAACUGUUAGAUAGUAGUCCAGGUAGGGAAAGAAUGGGAAUAUACCAUUUAACAAUCUAAUAAAUUCAAUGAUUUCAAUGUGUGAAUUUUUUUUAUUAACGAUAAAUUUUUUUAACCGGCAUUAUAUCUAACUGUAAUGUUGAGAAAAAGGCCUUCAGUCAGUAAUUAUGUUUUUAAAUUUGCAGCUGAAAUUUUGCAUGGACAGUCAUGUAAUUUAAUUGUGAUUGUACAUACAUAAGUGAGUUAUUAUAAAUUUUAAGUUACUCUUAUUUAGAUACCAACCCAAAUUUAGAACCAACCAAAAUUUUUUCCAAAUAAAAUGAUGCAUAAUCGAAGUAAUAUUAAGAACGAUUGUAAUAUAUAUGGAAAACAUCAAACAAAUAAAUCU